CUUCUGCUCUCAAUGAUGUGUGAAUAAAUAUACAUGGGGGAUUUAAAAUAUGGCUUGCUACAAAGGAUACAAAGUUCCAUUACAUCACCUAAAGUAGCCAGGGUUUUAUUUUACCCGACAUUGUUAUGGAAUAUCAUCACUGUGGGCACAAGCCGCAAGAGAAAAUGGUAUGACAGAAUUGAUGGGAAUGUUGUACUUGGCGCUUUACCUUUACGGAUCAUUGCA
rnacentral:lncRNA from 1 species